AUGGAAUCGUCGGGGAGCACCUCGCACAGCCCCGACAAAGUCCCAUCGCCGCAUGCAGCGCAGGUUACUGAAGCUGUAGCAAUGAGAAUGGUCCUCCUGGAUGCUCUUGCAUCCUACGUGGGAAGUAUGCUCACAGGGAUGGCACAAGAAGGAGUGUGGAUGCUGCUCGGUGUCUCGGGCGAGAUCGAGAGCAUGGAGGACAAGCUCAGGGACCUUAAGAACUUCCUUGCCGAUGCCGAUCGGCGGAACAUCACAGAUGAAUCAGUUUUGGGCUGGGUUGAAGAACUCAAACGCGCCAUGUACGGGGCAACCGACAUCCUUGACCUCUGCCAGCUCAAGGCCAUGGAAAGCGCUCCAUCAGUAGCUAGCCUGGGGUGUUUUAACCCUUUGCUCCUCUGUACAAGGAAUCCUUUGCAUGCCCGCGACAUUGGCACCCGUAUCAAGGUCCUGAACAGGAAGCUUGAUGAUAUCAGCGAGCGUGGUGCUAAAGGCUUCUAUCUUGGUUUAUCUAAGGACCGUGGAGGUAGGAUGCACGCCUAUCAUUGCCACGCACGCGAGACAUGUGGGUUGCUUGACCGGUCGCAUGUUGUUGGGGAGAAGAUCGAAGAAGACACAAAAGCAUUAGUGGCCAAGAUCAUACAAACAAGAAACGAGGUCAACAACAAAAUCGCGGUGCUCGCCGUCCUAGGUGUCUGUGGGGUUGGCAAGACCACCCUCGCGCAGAUGGUCUUUCACGACGAGGCCAUCCAAGGUGAGUUUGACAUGAUGAUAUGGCUGAGCGUCAACAAGGACUUCAAUGGGGUUGAGCUGCUAAGGGCCGCAAUCAAUCUUGCCGGGGGAGUACACACAGGUCAUGGAGAGAUGUCUGUGCUCUGGCCAAUCCUUACCGCUGCCUUGACAGGGAAGAAGGUCCUGCUGGUGAUGGAUGAUGUUUGGAACCAUGCAGCAUGGGAGGAUGUGCUCGAAAGACCAUUUGUUCUGGCUGCUGCUCAAGGUAGUCGAGUGCUCAUUACCACGAGAAAUGAAAGAGUUGCCCAAGCGAUGGGAGCCGAGCAUCCGUAUCACCGUGUCAAUAAAUUAGGUCCAGAAGAUGCCUGGUCAUUACUAAAGAAACAGGUAGCGACCAGUGAGACAGAUGAAUCUGAGAUUGAUAAGCUAAAGGAUAUUGGAUUGCAGAUUACAGCAAAAUGUGGUGGUUUGCCACUUGCUGUUAAAGUGAUGGGAGGAUUGUUGUGUCAGAAGGACAGAAAAUGGCGUGAGUGGGAGAUGGUUCUGGAUGACUGUACUCCAAGAUGUCAAUUGCACGAGGAGCUAAACCACUCAGUGUACUUAAGCUAUGAAGAGCUGUCUCCUUGUAUGAAACAGUGCUUUCUGUUCUACUCAUUUCUCCAUACAAAUACAGUGUUCUAUGAGAAUGACAUUGUUGGCAUGUGGAUUAGUGAAGGUUUUAUUUACGGAAACUCAGAAGAUUUGGAAGAUUUAGGAAGUAAGUGCUAUAGCGAGCUUAUACUGAGGAACCUUAUAGAGCCAGAUGCAAGCGAUGGAUCAGAAUCAGAUAUGUUGGUAUGGAGUCUUCUACAAGGACAGAAAUCAUUGAGAACACUAAUAUCAAUUGGCCAGAUAAAGCAUCAACUUGGUGAUUCAUUGAUUAGCUUUCCAAGUCUACGGGCCCUACAUAUAGAAUCCGCAAAUGCUGCUGCACUGGUUGAAUCUUUGUGUCUACUUAAGCACCUGAGGUAUUUGUCUGUAGCACACACUGAUGUAUCUAGUCUUCCAGAAAACAUCAACACGAUGAAAUUCUUGCAGCAUAUUAACCUCCAGGGCUGUGAAAGUUUUGAGAAACUUCCUGAUAGCAUUAUAAAGCUAGAGCAGCUGAGGUAUCUAAACCUUAAUGACACAGGUAUAAAUGUUAUACCUCGGGGUUUUCGUGGUCUAAUAAAUUUGAGGAAAUUAUAUGGGUUUCCAGCCCAUAUGGAUGGCGACUGGUGUAGUCUUGAAGAGUUGAGGCCUCUUUCCCAGUUAAGAGAAAUUGGAUUGAAGGGUUUGGAGAAUGUAGCUGCUACCUUGUUUGCCGCAAAGGCCAGGCUUGGUGAGAAGGUGCAUCUUACCUACUUGAAGUUAGAGCGCACCAGCAGAUCGGGAGGUGAUGAGUUGGUUAAGGAAGGAAGAGGUGCCUUUCAGGAUGAAGAACAACAAAUUGAGAAGGUGUUUGAUGAGCUCUACCCACCACCGGUCCUAAGUAUUCUUGACAUCCAAGGAUACUUUGGUCUGCAGCUCCCAUUUUGGAUGAGAACAGAGGACCGUCUUAAGAACCUGGUUGUUCUGACGAUGGAAGAUUUGGCUUGCUGCACCCAGCUUCCAUGUUGCUUGAGUCAGCUUCCCUAUUUAAAGGUCCUUAAGAUUGAACGAGCCCCAGCCAUCAGCAGUGUUGGGCCUGAAUUCUUUGGAGUUUCCGAACAUCAUAACCAGACGGUGACUAUGUUUCCCCGUUUGCAUGAACUGGUCUUCUCUGGAAUGGUGAAGUGGGAGGAGUGGGUGUGGGAGGAACAGUUAAAUGCCAUGCCCGCCCUGGAGGAGCUUCUGGUCGAUAGCUGCAAACUGAGGAGCUUUCCUCCUGGCCUUGCCUUCCACGCAAGGGCUUUGAAACGAUUGGUUAUUACCGCGGCUCUAAACCUCAACUCUCUUGAUAGUUUUGCUUCUGUUGUUGAGCUUCAUGUGUAUUUCAGUCCAAAGCUGACAAGUAUAGCUAAUCUCCAUGAGCUGCAAAAGCUCACAAUCAUUUUCUGCCCAAAGCUGGAGACAUUGAUUGGUGUUCCUGCAAUCCGAAGACUUGUGCUGGAGGAUUAUGACAUGGAAACACUCCCGAGAUACCUUCAAGAUGUAGGGAACCUGAGCCUUUUGCAGCUAGACUGCAGCCUAGAGCUUCUCACGUCCAUAGCCAUGGGGCAACCUGGACCAGAGUGGAAAAAGUACAGCCAUGUCAAGCAUGUCAAGGCAUAUGCGCAUGAUGGAGACAAUCAAAGGGAAUGGUAUGUGUUAUACACAAAAGAUCCCUACAAAUUCGAGACGAACAUCAGCCAACGCUCUUCCAAACUGGAAGCUGUUGGCAAAGGUGAAGACAAGCUUAUUGGCAGAGAGGCAGAACAACUUCUUGGCAUAGACAGCUCGAGUGGCUCAGCAGUCAGCGAAGAUAACCGAGAACUUGUUGGAAUUGAAAAUCCAUGUCAAUAUCUAAUCAAAUUGCUGACGCAUGGUGAUGAGGAAGAACUAAAAAUGGUCUCCAUUUGUGGAACUGGAGGUUUGGGUAAAACGACAGUUGCCCAUGCAGUUUAUAGGAAGAUUGCAAAUGAGUUUAAAUAUAAAGUUUUUGUUGACAUGCCCUGUAAUCUUGACAUAAAAGUGAUCAUUGGAACCAUAUGUGCUGAAGUUGGUUGUCCUCGUCCCAAGUUUGAAGAAUGUUGUGUUCAGCAACUAGUCGACCGACUCAAAAUAUUCUUUGAAGGGAAAAGGUACUUGAUCGUUUUUGAUGGCUUGUCGACCACAUCAGUAUGGGAUCAAAUUCUGCCUGCACUGAAAGAUAAUAGACAUGGAAGUAGAAUAAUUAUUACAACCCGGAAUGUCAGUAUUGCUGAACAUGUUGGUGGCCUUUAUCGUCUGCCACUUCUUUCUUGCGACGACUCGAACAUGUUAUUCUUCCGAAGAACAUUAUUUGGCAGUAAAGAUGAUUGUCCUUCUCAAUUUAGAGAAUUGUCUGAGAAAAUGUUGAGUAGAUGUGGACAGUUACCAUUAGCCAUCACUGUCAUAACUGAUUUGCUGCCUAAAGAUAGGGUGUUGGAGGAAUGGCAAAAGGUGUGUGAUUCUAUUGAAAGGGGUAACGGUAUGGAGAAUAUCAGAAGAGUUCUAAAACACAGUUAUGAUGAUCUACCUCCAGAUCUCCAGAGAUGCUUGUUGUGUCUAAGUAUUUUCCCAGAGGGCUAUGAGAUUGGAAGAGAUAGUUUGGUGCAGAGAUGGAUAUCUGAAAAUUUAAUAUGUGGGGAGCAUGGACAGAACUUGCAGGAACUGGGUGAGAGUUAUUUUUCUGAACUCGUAAAUUCUAACCUGAUCCAACCGAUAGAAUUUGACGGUUCUGGAAGGGAUCUGGUUUACCGUGUACCUGUAACAACUCUUGAUCUUAUUGUUGAUUUGUCUAUUCGCGAGAACUUUGUUACUAUAUUACCUAGCCUACAACGAACAGAUCUCCCAAGCGAGGUACAACGGUUAUCUCUCCGAGGCAGCAAUGAGCAUGAUGAGCUAAAAGCAAUCAAGAACAUUGACCAAGUGAGUUCACUCUCCCUCUUUAAUGGUGCUGGUCCGAUGCAGCCACUUUCAAAGUUUCGAGGGCUGCAAGUGUUACAUUUACAGGAAUGUGACUCUGUGAAGAAUGAAGGUGAUUCUGUGAAGAAUGAACGAGAUUCUGUGAAGAAUGAAGGUGUUUCUGUGAAGAAUGAACGAGAUUCUGUGAAGAAUGAACAUCUUAACGGUCUUGAGAGUUUAGACAAGCUGAGGUACCUGGUUCUAGGCAGCAGUCUUAUUACUGAGAUCCCCAAAAUGAUCGGGAAACUACGCCAUCUGCAGAUACUGGAUUUGACGGCAACUCGUGUAAAAGAGCUGCCAUCCAGCAUUGUUAAGCUUACGAAAUUGCGGCGGCUGCUUAUUAACAGAUCCACAGAAGUACCAGAUAAGAUUAUUGGGAAACUAGAAGCUCUAGAAGAACUGGUGGACAUUGAUAUCUCCAAGUCUCUAAAUAUUCUGCAAGAGAUUGGUACCAUGCCAGAACUGAGGGUGCUCAGCAUUGCCUUGUGGUCGUGGGAUGAGCAUCAUACCACACUUCUCUCCGAGAUUAUUUGCAAACUGGCUAUGAAGAAACUCAGACAUCUCUCUAUCUGCUCUUGCUGUUUACUAGAUUUGAAGUCAGAUUUACAGCCAGUUCUCCAACUUGAAAAGCUUGAGAUACAGGGCAGCAUAUUCGACAAAUUACCAACAUGGAUUAACAGACUCACCCAUCUCCGCUCCUUGUCCAUCGAGAUCUACUCCUUGGAAAAGAAUGCUCUUGAAGUACUUGGAAAAUUAGAGAAUCUUCUUUUCCUAUCCCUUGUUGCAAAGAGGAUCGCAGGAGAAAAGCUAGUGAUUGUUAAAAAUACAUUCUGUACCCUGCAGACUUUUCUUCUGUUCAAUCAUGCCAUGGCGAUAGAGUUCGAACAAGGAGCUAUGGAGAAACUUCAAAGGCUUAAGUUAACGCUGCAGGCAUCACUGACAAAGACGGAUGAUCUUUGUUUAGGCCUGGAUACUCUCUCUUCACUUCAGCAUGUCCAUGUUGAAAUUAUCUGCUUCAGUGCCACGGAUGGGGCUGUGAAGGCAGCUGAGACUGCAAUCGAGAGCAUGAUUGGAAAUAACCCUGGUAAGCCUAGACUUGAAAUGAAAAGAAUUGAGGAGAAAUAUAUGACAGAAGACAAAAAGAAAGAAGCAGACUCUGAAAUCAAGGGAGAAGAUGAAGAUCAAGAAUCACUCUGCCUGGCAAAGCAGGAAGAAAAGACUGUUACAUCAAAGAAGAAGAGCAGGAGGGCAAGGAAGAAGAACAAGAGGCAUCACUAG
rnacentral:rRNA from 1 species